AGUGAACGCUGGCGGUAGGCCUAACACAUGCCAGUCGAACGGCAGCACAGUAAGAGCUUGCUCUUACGGGUGGCGAGUGGCGGACGGGUGAGGAAUACAUCGGAAUCUACUUUUUCGUGGGGGAUAACGUAGGGAAACUUACGCUAAUACCGCAUACGACCUACGGGUGAAAGCAGGGGAUCUUCGCACCUUGCGCGAUUGAAUGAGCCGCUGUGGGAUUAGCUAGUUGGCGGGGUAAAGGCCCACCAUGGCGACGAUCCGUAGCUGGUCUGAGUGGAUGGUAGGCCACCUUGGAGCGGGACCGGGGACAAGGCUACUACGGGAGGCAGCAGUGGGGAAUAUUGGACAGUGGGGGGAAGCAUGAUACAGCGAUACCGCGUGGGUGAAAGAGGCCUUGGGGUUGUGAAGCCCUUUUGUUGGGAAAGAAAAGCUGCAGGUUAAGACGCAGCUGUACUGACGGUAACCGAUGAAUAAGCACCGGCUAACUACGUG
rnacentral:rRNA from 1 species